rnacentral:tRNA from 1 species
GGGGGUGUAGCUCAGUGGUAGAGGGCUCGCUUUGCAUGUGAGUAGUCCUGGGUUCAAACCCCGGCACCUCCA